rnacentral:lncRNA from 1 species
UGCUGGGGAGCUGAUCAGCUCCCCCGACCCAACAUCCUUCUGGAAAGAGUCCGUUUCCGAGAGUGGGGCCUGUCCAGAAGAACGAUGGGGAAGGGUACCCUGGUCUCCACCGUGGUCUCACCUUUGGGUCAGACACUGCUUGGGAUAACCCUCCCGUGUCUCACAGGUUAGGCCCGUGCACCUUGCACACGUGCGCACAUACACACACACAACCACAGCACUGCAGUAUGUUCUUGCCAAAGAUUUCCUUUAAAAGAAAGCACUUUUAAUAAUUAUUGUUAUUAUUGUGUAAAUGUUUAUCCUUUUUUCUCCCCAUCCCUCUCCCCAACCUUUUUUGCUGUUGUUUAUUGUUGAAUCUGUUUGUCAGCCAGGAGAGUGCCGUCUGGUCUUGAAAGUGGGCUGGGGAGUUGGGGAUGGGAAAGGGUCUGGGAGGAGUUGGCAAGAAAGAGCCGGAGGCCGGUGAGGCCUGGUCAGCUUGUGAUGCAGGGAUGCAGACCCCAGGCAAGCUCAGGCCCCAGCCCCAGGCCCAGGCUGUGUCUUGCUGUGCAUCUAGGCCUCUGAGGCAGCUGAGGCCUCGCCGUAGCUGCCCCGUACGGUGUCUGGAGGGAACAGGGGGCAGGGAAGUGACAGCCCUCCAAUUCAGCAGGGAGAGAGGCCCAGCAAGGUCCCCGUGGCCCUUCCCAGAUGGAGCGAGAGGGGAGGACUGGGCCUGGGAAUAGUGGAGAGGUGACCCCAGAGGGGAAAUGGGGAGGAAGGGAACAGUUUGAUGGAGCUCCAGGGCUGAGCAGAUGCCCCUGCCCUGCGAUCGUGGUGUUCUGGCUCCCUCCUCCAGCCAGGUGUUCCAGGGACAGAGACAUUGUGUCCUAGGUUUGGGAAAGGCCCUUUGACCCAGGUCCUCAUUGGAGCCUCUCCCGCAGCAGCUGCAAAUGCUUGCGGACUGCCAGGAUUCCUUCUUCCCUGGCAGGGUUUUGAGGGAUCCCUGGGUGCGUCAGAGACAGGUAGGAUAGGGGUGGGGGGACCUGGUGGCUGUGUGACCAUAAGAGGGAGCCCGAGGGACACGUGUGAUUCUCUGUAAAGGGGCUCCCGGAGGGAGAUGAGUCCAAGGGACACGUGUGAUUGUAAAGGGGCUCCCGGAGGGAGAUGGGUCGAACAUCCUUCUGCCCACUCGGAUGGGCCGAGCAGAGGUUGGGCAGGCCCCUGGUGCCGCCCAGGGGUCUGUGGACGAGUCUGUACGUGGAACAGUGUCUAUGGCCCCCUUCCCCGGGAUGUUCAUUCAUCACCCCUGCCUCCUGGGUCUUCUCCCCUGCUUUGGUCUUUUCCAGCUUCAGGAUCUGGAUCUGGGGGGAUCCAGGAGGCCAAUGCCCUUUCCAAGGGCUGCCUCCUGCCCCUACAUCUCCCCACCCUUGGGAUCCUUGGAGAGGCUGGGGGCGGAGUCCCGGGUCUACUUUUCACCCAGGUCGAGGCCCCGGAAUCCUUAGACUGGAGUGCCCUGGCUAGUGGUAACACAGAACGUGUGCGCGUGCGUGUGCAAGUGUGGGUGUAUGUGUGUGCGUUUUUUGCUUGUCUCUUUAGGGAACUUAGGAGUUGGGUUGGAGGUGGUUGGCAAUGGGAUGUCAAGUUCACUAUCACCCAGCGGCGAAAGGAAUCAGGAGGCAAGGCUUGUAGGGCUCCUGAUUGGGGGAAUCUCAGUGUCGGUGAUGGUGGGGAUCAACCACACGGGGUGGCGCUCCUCUGUCCUCAGAUGUUGAAGUGUUGGAGGACCUCUGUUUAUUUCCCACACCUGAACUUUUCCCAGCUGUGAGGUAAUUGUAAAGGGAUAGCCCACUUUUGUUUCUAAUCAGUGUUCAACAGCUUGAGACUCUCCUGCAUGUCCACGUGUGGCUCAUGUGUGUGAGCACAUCUGUGCAUGCAUGCUGUGUUUCCCCACCUCUCCCCUCUCUGACAUGUCAUUCAAAACAAAUGUAAGAAAUUCCUCACCUCCAUCCCCUCCUGCCUCCCAGACCCUCUGCAGGAAAAACCGAAUAACCCAGCAUCUCCUGAUCCCCUGGCUGUGUAUUUAUAUAGAUGGAAAUAUACUUUCUAUUUUGUAUCAUCGUGCCUAUAAUCUCUGUCACCUUGUAUAAACCCUGAUGUAUGCUACUUACCCUGGAUAUGAAUGUAUUGUACACUGAUGCUGUCCCACUCCUGUACAGCUGCUUUGUUUCUUUGCAAUCCAUUGUAUGGCUUUAUAAAUGAUAAAGUG